UUGAGACUCUCUAUAGGG
rnacentral:snRNA from 1 species